rnacentral:misc_RNA from 1 species
GAUGAAGAACGUAGCGAAAUGCGAUAAGUAAUGUGAAUUGCAGAAUUCAGUGAAUCAUCGAAUCUUUGAACGCACAUUGCGCCCCUUGGUAUUCCGGGGGGCAUGCCUGUUCGAGCGUCAUUUCAACCCUCAAGCUCAGCUUGGUAUUGAGUCCAUGUCAGUAAUGGCAGGCUCUAAAAUCAGUGGCGGCGCCGCUGGGUCCUGAACGUAGUAAUAUCUCUCGUUACAGGUUCUCGGUGUGCUUCUGCCAAAACCCAAAUUUUCUAUGGUUGACCUCGGAUCAGGUAGGGAUACCCGCUGAACUUAAGCAUAUCAAUAAGCGGAGGA